UUGGCUGCCUACUCCUACCGCCCCAGCCCCGGGCGGCCCUGGGCCUGCUGCGGGCGCGGCGCUGCCCGACCAGAGCUUCCUGUGGAACGUCUUCCAGAGGGUCGAUAAAGACAGGAGUGGAGUGAUAUCAGACACCGAGCUUCAGCAAGCUCUCUCCAACGGCACGUGGACUCCCUUUAAUCCAGUGACUGUCAGGUCGAUCAUAU
rnacentral:lncRNA from 1 species